CAAACUGGUGCAUAAAAUACCUGACCAUGUCCUAUUUCUUUCUCUUGACUAUAACACAUGGAUUGGGAUUGACCAAUGAACAAGAGGGAUUUUCUGGAUACAUCUACACCUUCUUUCCCAGGAUAUGCCCAGACUGUCUGAGGAAUGAGAUUGAUGUUACAAGGCCAAAACAAACGCUCUGGAAAAAAACACACUGACCUGAUACCUCAUUUGUGACAUUUCCUGAUCUGUGGUCAUCAAAACAAAGAAAGUCUGAGAAGCUGUCACAGUCAGGAGGAGCCUAAGGAGACAUGAUGAUGAAGGGUAAUGUCGCAUCCUGGAUGGGAUCCUGGAACAGAAAAAG